rnacentral:lncRNA from 1 species
UUGCCAAUUUGUCGCCACUCUCGAUCUAUGCUCCACUGGCACUUCAAUCCAAUCCCCAUGCGUAACUAGUCCGGUACGGCAGGGCAGCACGACGUAGUGGCAGCGUCUGCAAUGGCACGUGCAGCUGUGGCCGACGAGGAUGGACCGCCGAGGAAGACGAAGCGAUCGAGCAGGGCGGCUUCAAGACGAUGCCGUUCAGUCUUGGUGAUCGCCCGGCCUCACGCGUCCACUGGAUUUUCUUUCCUCAGAUGGCAAUUAUUCAAGCAGCACUUCGCCGGCAUUUCUGUACAUGCUUCUCUGGC